GCAAACUUGGUCAUUUAGAGGAAGUAAAAGUCGUAACAAGGUUUCCGUAGGUGAACCUGCGGAAGGAUCAUUACAGAGAACUUGCCCUUCGGGGUAUAUCUCCCACCCUUUGUUUACAAUACCAUGUUGCUUUGGCAGGCCCGUCUUCUAGACCACUGGCCUUGGCUGGUCCGUGCCUGCCAGAGGAUAAAAAACCCUAUAUUUUUGUGUUUCUGAGCUCUAAGUAUCGAUAGUUAAAACUUUCAACAACGGAUCUCUUGGUUCUGGCAUCGAUGAAGAACGCAGC
rnacentral:misc_RNA from 1 species